CACGUAGAACUGCUGCACCAGCUGCGUCCAGUAGUGGCGAGAUGCCUGGUCUACUAAUGUGCUUGUUGAGAUCGGAGCGUUGCGGAAUUCCAGAAAGUCCCUUCACUGAAGAUGCAAUAAAAUGCUGAGUUUAGUGCCUUGAGAUAAUUACAAGACAAAGAAAGGGAUUACGAAGCUCUGAUCAUAAUGGAAACGAUCUUUGAGAAAGUUGAAUCAGGUAACACACACAAAAUCCCAAUCUCUGCCAUCACCGCCAGUUUCGACAUCAUUCUCAUCAUCGAGCUCCUAUUCAUCAUCAUCACUUCUGAAGCCGUCUCCU